CUAAUACAUGCAAGUCGAGCGAACAGAGAAGGAGCUUGCUCCUUCGACGUUAGCGGCGGACGGGUGAGUAACACGUGGGCAACCUACCUUAUAGUUUGGGAUAACUCCGGGAAACCGGGGCUAAUACCGAAUAAUCUGUUUCACCUCAUGGUGAAACACUGAAAGACGGUUUCGGCUGUCGCUAUAGGAUGGGCCCGCGGCGCAUUAGCUAGUUGGUGAGGUAACGGCUCACCAAGGCGACGAUGCGUAGCCGACCUGAGAGGGUGAUCGGCCACACUGGGACUGAGACACGGCCCAGACUCCUACGGGAGGCAGCAGUAGGGAAUCUUCCACAAUGGGCGAAAGCCUGAUGGAGCAACGCCGCGUGAGUGAAGAAGGAUUUCGGUUCGUAAAACUCUGUUGUAAGGGAAGAACAAGUACAGUAGUAACUGGCUGUACCUUGACGGUACCUUAUUAGAAAGCCACGGCUAACUACGUGCCAGCAGCCGCGGUAAUACGUAGGUGGCAAGCGUUGUCCGGAAUUAUUGGGCGUAAAGCGCGCGCAGGUGGUUUCUUAAGUCUGAUGUGAAAGCCCACGGCUCAACCGUGGAGGGUCAUUGGAAACUGGGAGACUUGAGUGCAGAAGAGGAUAGUGGAAUUCCAAGUGUAGCGGUGAAAUGCGUAGAGAUUUGGAGGAACACCAGUGGCGAAGGCGACUAUCUGGUCUGUAACUGACACUGAGGCGCGAAAGC
rnacentral:rRNA from 1 species